GGCUUCGUAGCUCAGCUGGUAGAGCAUGCGCGUACAAAGCUAAAUCGGCGUCCAUGCGUGGGUUCGAAUCCCACCGAGGCUA
rfam:Echinostoma caproni strain Egypt genome assembly, scaffold: ECPE_scaffold0006739